rnacentral:rRNA from 1 species
GCAAGUCGAACGCCAAAGGGGCAACCCAAGUAGCGUGGCGAAAGGGCGAGUAAUGCAUUUCUAACGUACCCUUGACUCGGGGAUAGUUCACCGAAAGGUGCAGUAAUACCCGAUGAUGUUACCUGGUCGUAUGUCUGGGUAACCAAAGGCUUGCUGGUCAAGGAGCGGGGAAUAUCCUAUCAGGUAGUUGGUAAGGUAACGGCUUACCAAGGCGAUGAUCCGUAGCCGGCCUGAGAGGGCGGUCGGCCACACUGGCACUGAGAUACGGGCCAGACUCCUACGGGAGGCAGCAGUGGGGAAUUUUCCGCAAUGGGCGAAAGCCUGACGGAGCAACGCCGCGUGAGUGAAGAAGGGUUUCGGCUCGUAAAACUCUGUUGUUAAGGAAGAAUGACCGGUAUUUAACUGAUGCCGGUGUGACGGUACUUAACCAGAAAGCCACGGCUAACUACGUGCCAGCAGCCGCGGUAAUACGUCGGUGGCGAGCGUUGUCCGGAUUUACUGGGCGUAAAGGGAGCGUAGGCGGACUUUUAAGUGAGAUGUGAAAUACCCGGGCUCAACUUGGGUGCUGCAUUUCAAACUGGAAGUCUAGAGUGCAGGAGAGGAGAAUGGAAUUCCUAGUGUAGCGGUGAAAUGCGUAGAUAUAGGAAGGAACACCAGUGGCGAAGGCGACACACUGGCUCAUUACUGACGCUGAGGCUCGAAAGCGUGGGGAGCAAACAGGAUUAGAUACCCUGGUAGUCCACGCCGUAAACGAUGAUUGCUAGUUGUCGGGAUGCAUGCAUUUCGGUGACGCAGCUAACGCAUUAAGCAAUCCGCC